CCUUUGAUAGCUCAGCUGGUAGAGCGGGGGACUGUAGAAGUACUUCCUAGUCCUGUGGGUAUCCCUAGGUCGCUGGUUCAAUUCCGGCUCAAAGGA
rfam:Alligator_sinensis, whole genome shotgun sequence